rnacentral:misc_RNA from 1 species
UUGGUAUGUUUCGUUUACAAAGAAAGCUUCCGCCUUAAUGAAAAGGCUUUCACUUUCUCUUUAGUUGUAAGUUCACAAUCAAUUUUAGGGUUAUUAUUCCGCAUUGCUUUGUUUUGAAGAAAGCUCUGUGGGAUAAGAAUUAAAAAAAAGUUGUUCUUCCCUUGUGGGGAAAUAUGCCUUUGAAAAGACACAUAAAGCCACAAAAGAAGAAAAAAGAUUUCGGUUCGCGGGACACAAAGUGCUUCUAUUCUCUGGGUGUUGCCACACAGAAAACAGUCACAGCUUGUUUUUUUGUUUUUGAGGGUGUGGUAAUGAUCCUUCCGCAGGUUCACCUACGGAAA